AUACAGAGGGUGCGAGCGUUAUCCGGAUUUAUUGGGCGUAAAGCGUGUGUAGGCGGUUUAUUAAGUCUAAGAUUAAAGCCCGAGGCUUAACCUCGGUUCGUUUUAGAUACUGGUAGACUUGAGUAUGGUAGAGGCAAAUGGAAUUUCUAGUGUAGCGGUGAAAUGCGUAGAUAUUAGAAGGAACAUCAGUGGCGAAGGCGAUUUGCUGGGCCAUUACUGACGCUGAGACACGAAAGCGUGGGGAGCAAAUAGGAUUAGAUACCCUAGUAGUCCACGCUGUAAACGAUGAGCACUAAGUGUCGGGAAACCGGUGCUGAAGUUAACACAUUAAGUGCUCCGCCUGAGUAGUACGGUCGCAAGACUGA
rnacentral:rRNA from 1 species